CCUGGUUCUUCUACUACACGCGUGUAAAAGCGUCUGAGCUCAUUCAACACUGCUAGCGUGUCUGGAAGCGUAAGAGUCAUGUUUGACUCCUCGAGAUCUGGAGGGGUGAGAGGGGGUCAGGACCAGUUCAACUGGAAUGAUGUGAAAGUGGACAAACAGAGAAAAUUACUUGAGGAAUUCCCUAAUGGCACUGGUUGGCCGCUGGCAGAAAGGGAAAGAUUUGACAUGGCAUGCCAAAGAUAAAAAAGGUGUCGCACCGCUGACAAAAGAGCAGGAGACGGCAACUGUGCAGGAGGCAGAACAUUAGGCCAUGAUGGCAUGAUGUAUUUUUCCCCUGUCUUGAUUGUUGGCAGGAUUUUGCAGAUGUGUGCAGGAGAGGAGCGGGAUGUGGACAGGGUCUCUGGGCAUGGAAGUCCCAGGCGGAGAAAAGACCCGCGGGACCACCACGGUCCUAAUCCAUCAAGGAGCAGUCAGAGUGGAGCCGGAGCCCGUGACAGCCGUUCGGGGGGGACAAAGGCCGCCUGUAGGAGCUUGAGCCCCCCUCACUAGCACCGACGGCACGACACAGACUCGUCCUCUGACGGCCACCAUGCUGGUCGAGGGUCCCCAUCACAAAGCCACCGGCAGCGCCACGACACCGUCACAGACGACUGAUGCCCUUUAACCCCCCCUCCCCCCCCAAGAAUAAUGGGAAUUAAAAAAAUAAGAAUAAAGUAAAAAAUCAAAAGAAAGAAAUAAGGAAUAAUAUUUUGCUAAAAGCCUAAAAAUCUAUUUUUUGCACCAUAAUUUUUUUACAAAUUUUUUUAGGACAGUUAAGCACAUUUCCUCCGUAAUGGAAAAAAAUACUCCUAUUCUCAUUACUGUAAUAAAAAAAAAUAAUUAAAAAUUUUUUUUUUUUAAAUAAUUUUUUUUAACAUUUAUAAACCAUGGUAUACAGGUAUAUGUAGUAGGUUGUAUUAGUUAUGUUGCCUUUCAUUUUUGUCAAUUUUAAAUAAAAAAAUCAACUGUAGUGUAGUAAAAAAUACUGUAUUAAAGUAAUGAGAAUCACUAUUUAAGGGUAGUUCAUCCAAAAAUGAAAAUUCACUCAUCAUUUACUCACCCUUAUGCCAUCUCAGAUGUGUAUGACUUUCUUUCUUCUGCUGAG